UUUACUUUUUAGCAGUCCCAUGCCUCUCUUGCCAGAUCUUCUACCCACAGCAUGCCAACACAAAUCAAUUCUCAUGUUCCAUUUUGAUUAUGAAUCGAAGUUUGUUUUCUGCUACUGGAACAGACCAGAAGACGAGAUCUGCAUUCAUGGCCUUGCCGUGAAUUCUACCGUUGAGAACAUGCUGUGAGGUUAGUAAGAGAGUGCAUGCUAAGUAAUUGCUUCUGUUCCUCAGAGGAAGGCAGUUUCCGUAUUUCUGUUUAUACCUAAUUGAUGGGAGGGGUUUAUAAUUAAUCUACCCUCUGAAGCUCAUUAGCUUUUUAAUAGUGUUAGCUUAACACGAUUGUAGUCUUAACAGCUUUGAUAUUGAUUGAAAUUGCAUAGAAUUUGUACUGUUAACUCUGGCCUUUUUCGUUAGACUCUUAUAUAGUGUAUGCAUGUGAGUAGGGGUAACAAGUUGGGGUACUAAUCGGAUGUUAUCCGUAAACAGGGUCAAAAUUUCAUGUUACAAUCUAAUUACUUUUUCAGUUUAAUUUAAAAUUGGUCAAUUUUAUCUUACCCUUUAUAUCCAAUGUUGCAUUGUUGGGUGGUGCCAGAAAUUGUUAACAGAUACACAGAUCAUCAGAAUUAGAUGAUGACUCGUAACUUGACUCCACAAUUGACUAAAUUUUCUUUUUCUUGUCAUGAUUUUUGAUGUUUAAUAUGAACUAGUUGUAUGUAAUAAUACUUGUUGCUUCUGUGGUUGGAGGUAUAAAGAUUAGUUUCAUUAUCAAGCAAUAGCGUGGAAUAUGGUAUCUGUCGUUGUAUUUGCACAAAUGAAUGAAUACUAUUGAAGAGAAGAAAUGUAAUAACAUGGAGCAACAAAUGGUUAAGAAAUGGAAUCAUAUAAUUUUGUAUCUAAAUUAUAUCUGCAUAAGUUUCCUGAAUGUACAUAUCGAAAAAUUUUUAGCCAAAAAAUGCAAAUGAAUCUCAAAAUUUGGUAUCAUUGCAACUUGAUUUACAGGGUUAGUGAUUGAGGAUAUUGAGAAAGGAAACUCUGGUUUUGAUCAAUCGUCUAGAAAGGCAUUCAAGGCCAUCUUCAAGAUCUUGAAUGCACUGCUCCAAGUUUUUUAGUUGGGCUUGAAUACUUUGAAUGAGCAUGCUGUAACCACAUUUGCUUGUCUUGGGACUGCAGAGAGACUGCAAAGCGCUGUCCAUGUUGGCAAAUUCAUUAUUGUCUGAAAAUUCUUCCUCGGGAGCCACUCUUUUGUGGUGGAUCAGUUUAGAAACUAAUGACCAGCUGCUUGGCUUCGUUUGCAGAUUGGACCCUGAGAUUAGGGACAAUAAGGACUCAAGAGCAGUGGCAGUUACUGCUUCAGCUUCGCGUAACAUGCUUAACAUUGCGGAAGCUUCCUUGUCUAAAUUGAUGGGAGAGGAAGUGCGGCUCUUUUCAAUACCUUUCAAUUUCCUCAGAGCUUUGUGGAUUGCCUUUUUCACCAAUUUUCUGGAAGCUAAGUAUUUCUUAAUCUCAGCUUCACCUCCACAUCUUCGGCGGAAACUUGACUGAAGUUCACGUGUGGAUUCCUUUGUCAGAAGUAAUACAUCUUUAGCGGAGCUGCACACAUCCAAGAGCCGGAGAGAUCCAUCUAGUAGCUCUGCCACACCUUCUUCAUUCAACUCUCGGGUUAAUGUUUGUUGGCAGAGAGGCAAGAGAAGCAGCUUCUCAACACACUCAUACAGAUCUUGAAGGGCACUUAUUUUGCCACAAACUGAUGUUGAUAAUGUUGAUGCAGAUACUGAAGACUUUAUUCUGCACAAUUGGACAUCAACUUGUUGUAGAAAAGGAUGUGUUAUGCAAGGGAAGCUAUGGGACCGAGCAUGGUAGGCAGCCAUUUUUUUUAGAGAAAAGAGAGGGUUAGCAGAUGAAUUCUGAUUUCACUGUAAACAAUUUGCCUUGUGUCUUUUGCUUCCCCUCAUUAUAUAUUGCAGGUCAAUGGAGACAGAAAGAAUCUUUUUUCUUCUUCCUCUUCGUUAUCAAUUAUUAAAAGUGAAGAGUGUUCUGGAUUUAGGUAGUCUGUCAAUAAUGUUUAUGCAUGUCUCCCUCUUACCACAUCUCCAGGUCAGCUUUCCUAAAGAAUAUACAGACGCUUGAGUGGCACUAAGAGAGCCCUAGGACAAGAGACAAUAGCCUUACCAUCUCAUCUUUACUCACUGUAUGUUGUUGCUUUCGAUUUCUUAAAAUAAUUUCAUCUGCCAGUCCAUCUCCACAUGAAAAUGACACCAGUAAUCUCUAUCUAAUUGUACACAACCAUUUCCACCUAAAUGCAUCAAUAAUCCAUGUUAAGGACUGAUUGAAAAAUUUGAUGUUGCAUGUUCCUUAUCUGGCUUCUGCACAAGUAGUAUGCAAGUUAUUCAUAAUCUAAUAUCACCUUUUCUUUUUUUUUUCUUUCAUUGAAAAUGGCUUGAGGCUGAACUAGGCUGGAUAAAUCAGACUGUCUCUCCAAACAGAGAAAGCCAGAAUAUCUUCUUUAGUUUUUGUCAAUAUUUAAUCUUCUGCCUAUAGACAAUUCAGGUCAGUAGCAUGGAGGACGCAAAUAAUAUGCUUUAUAUGUAUCUCUGUAAAGUCAGGUUUUUCCCUCAAUGCGUGCCUGUUGGAUGUGCAUGGAUGCUAACUCCAGUUUAUUAAUAAACAAUUUACUUGAAUUUUCACUUUAAUCAGCAUUUCCUGCAAUAUUUAGAUGAGAUCUGCAUACUCGGCCAUAACAUACCUGACAAAAAUGGAGACAAAUGGUUAGUGAGGACAAUAACUCUGCCAUCCUCUAUAAAAUGUUAGAGUACUUUCACUUUUAUAAAACACAUUUUAGACAUGUUACCAAGUCUUGUGAAAAGAUUAUAGCUAGUGAUAGAAAAGGUAUAUUCAUCUUGUAAUAUCAGGUCUGAGUCUUUCGAGUUCUUGUGCAUCAAUGUGGAUGCUUAUGGAUUUUUAUAUCAAUCAAUUGAUUUUCCUCAAGACAUAUAUGAUGCUCUUAAAAGAAAAAAGGACAAAAAAAUAGUAUGGCUGCAAGAUCUUCUGAGAACCAGUGUUUAACUUUAGUAUGAAUUGAAGAGUACAAAUACUUUUAGUCUAUAUACAGAGCAUCAUGAUUUUUUUUUUUUGGCUAGUGAUUAGCGACAUUGAUAAAGGAGACUCUGGUCCUGAUCAACUUUCUGUAUAUGCACUCAAGUCCUUCUUCAAGAUCUUGAAUGCACAACUCUAAAUUUU
rnacentral:lncRNA from 1 species